GCCCUUGUAGCUCAGUUGGUAGAGCGCGGCACUCGUAUACUCGCUUAUGCCAUGCCGAGGUCUACGGUUCGACUCCGUACGGGGGCA